rnacentral:tRNA from 1 species
GGGCCGGUAGCUUAGUCUGGCUAGAGCGUUUGUGGCUAUAGCACCUGUCUUAUAAGCAGGGGGUCGAGGGUUCAAAUCCCUCCCGGCCCA